CAACCAUAUUAUGCUGAAACACCAUUUCCUGUUCGAUCACCAAAGUUAAGUAAUAUUGAGCCAGGUCAAUACAUAGAUGAGUGACCACUUGGGAAUAUCAGAUGCUGUAAG